rnacentral:rRNA from 1 species
GCUGGCGGCGUGCUUAACACAUGCAAGUCGAACGGUAAGGCCCUUCGGGGUACACGAGUGGCGAACGGGUGAGUAACACGUGGGUGAUCUGCCCUGCACUUCGGGAUAAGCCUGGGAAACUGGGUCUAAUACCGGAUAGGACCAUGGGAUGCAUGUUCUGUGGUGGAAAGCUUUUGCGGUGUGGGAUGGGCCCGCGGCCUAUCAGCUUGUUGGUGGGGUGAUGGCCUACCAAGGCGACGACGGGUAGCCGGCCUGAGAGGGUGACCGGCCACACUGGGACUGAGAUACGGCCCAGACUCCUACGGGAGGCAGCAGUGGGGAAUAUUGCACAAUGGGCGCAAGCCUGAUGCAGCGACGCCGCGUGAGGGAUGACGGCCUUCGGGUUGUAAACCUCUUUCAGCACCGACGAAGCGAAAGUGACGGUAGGUGCAGAAGAAGGACCGGCCAACUACGUGCCAGCAGCCGCGGUAAUACGUAGGGUCCGAGCGUUGUCCGGAAUUACUGGGCGUAAAGAGCUCGUAGGUGGUUUGUCGCGUUGUUCGUGAAAACCCACAACUCAAUUGUGGGCGUGCGGGCGAUACGGGCAGACUG